AAAAAGCGUUGGCAAAAGUUUGACCAAGUCAGUGACAAAGCGUUAAAUGUAGUCAAAGUUACUUGUAUUCAAGAAACAGAACAAUUACCCUCAGAAAAUUGUGACGUUUUGGUGGGUGAUACAAAUAAGUCUUGUCCAUUUGUGCCUGGGAAGGAAACUACAAUCAAUGCAUCUGAAAAUACUCAAGACAACUGUCAAAAAAAUGACAUCCCAACAGGUAAAAUUUCAAUGUAAUCCAUGCUAACAUCAUCUAAGGAAAAUAUGUAGUUGUGGAAUUUUAAAGUGGGCUCAAAAAUUUUUGUGUUUUUCACAGAAUGCAAACGUAUUAGAAAACCUAGCAAAAGACUCAUAGAAUGGACAGAGGAAUACGAUCAAUUGUUUUCCACUAAGAAGAAAGCAAAAAAGAAACCUGAGUCCUUUACUAAGGUUGAAAACAAUAACUGCAGUGGCCCAGUGGAGAAAACAUCUGGCGAAAGUAUACAGAAACCUCAGGUGACAGAACAAGGUGUGUCAAGGCCCCUGCCAGAAUUACAGACUCCUCCUCCAGAAGACCUGUCUCGGAGCACUCCUUCAAUAAAUCCCACGCCAUGUCAAGAGAGGCAGGUGUUGUCUGUAGACACUCUUACUCCACCUCCAGAAACAAUCCCAUCACCGUGUGCUGAAAUUUGUCAUAAGGAGGAGCUUCAAAAACAAAAUGCUAUAGCCACUGGUGAUGGUGUGUGUCUAAGCACAAAGAGACAACGGAAACCCACCAAAAAGAUUCUGGAAAGCUCCAUAGAAGCUGAACCAAUUCUUGUGCCAAAAAGAAAGGUACUUGUUUAAACUAUAACUAUUUUAGAAAGUUUACUU
rnacentral:lncRNA from 1 species